ACUCCUACGGGAGGCAGCAGUGGGGAAUCUUAGACAAUGGGGGCAACCCUGAUCUAGCCAUGCCGCGUGAGUGAUGAAGGCCUUAGGGUCGUAAAGCUCUUUCGCCAGGGAUGAUAAUGACAGUACCUGGUAAAGAAACCCCGGCUAACUCCGUGCCAGCAGCCGCGGUAAUACGGAGGGGUUAGCGUUGUUCGGAAUUACUGGGCGUAAAGCGCGCGUAGGCGGACUAGAAAGUUGGGGUGAAAUCCCGGGCUCAACCUCGGAACUGCCUUCAAAACUCCUAGUCUAGAGUUCGAGAGAGGUGAGUGGAAUUCCAAGUGUAGAGGUGAAAUUCGUAGAUAUUUGGAGGAACACCAGUGGCGAAGGCGGCUCACUGGCUCGAUACUGACGCUGAGGUGCG
rnacentral:rRNA from 1 species